ACGCUCGACACCUACGGGAGGCAGCAGUGGGGAAUAUUGGGCAAUGGGCGAAAGCCUGACCCAGCAACGCCGCGUGAGGGAAGAAGGUUUUCGGAUUGUAAACCUCUGUCCUCAGGGACGAAGGACGUGACGGUACCUGAGGAGGAAGCCCCGGCUAACUACGUGCAGCAGCCGCGGUAAUCUGAGCGGGCUGGCAAGGC
rnacentral:rRNA from 1 species